AUGUGGGAAUGUGGAAAAGAAGCCGGAAACGUCCGCGCGGUGAAACGCAGAGGCUGCCCGGGAAACGGCGAGAGCGAGCGAGAAACGAGCCUGAGGGCGGCGCGCAGCCGGCGAGUGGGGAGAAACAGACUCGCACCCGGGGGCCUCCGGGACUCAGGCCGGGUCCUGCCGGAAACGUGCGGCGGGGACGGCCUCGGUCGGCGCAGCGCCCCUGCGUCUCCCCCUGGGGGCGCGGGGCGGAGUGGGAGACCUGGGAGGCGGAGGAGAGGGGCCUUGCGAGCGAGGCCCGGGCGGGGAGGCCUGGCCUCCUGCUCAGUCUGUGCAAAUGGAAAAAGAGACGUUCCGUUUCUCUGGAAAACUCUGACUAAUACAGUAGAGGAUAUCCAGAUUGAAAAGUUCAGGAGAAAGUCUGACUUAGGCGUUGGAAGCUCAGAUUGGAAGAACCUCUUGAUAGAUAUCCCUCAGGAAAGACUACGAAAAUAGCCAAAAUAAUUCAAGGAGAAGAUGUAAAGCGAACUGUGAAGCAGGCCAAAAAUGA